CCAAGCUCACACUAAUUCUAGCUUCUACCCGAUAGACUCCAGAUAUUUUUGCCACUUUCAGACAACUUUCUGGUUACAAAAAAAAAAUCAAACUCUCAAAAGGCGAUUGAAGCAAGCAAUGAGUUUUGUCUUCCACGAAUCGACCUCGUCUCCAAGAUCCGAUGAAAUAGAAGUUGGUCGGAUGCAUUGAAAGAAAGACCUUGUUGAGCUCAUUCGAUUUGGUGAUUCAAUAGACAAAAACUCCAAAGGUUUCAUUAAAAACAUUUCACUCUCUCAGCUGUCGGUUCCUCUCGGUUAAAGAGAAGAAUUGAAGAAGAUGGUGAUUUCCGAAAGUAACACUUCAUCUGAUCCCUAAAAGAUGAGAUGGAAACGUGUUGCGAUGACUUAUAAGUAAAUAAUUUCUUUAAAGUUUAAGCCGUACAAACAUGGUGUUGAGUUUGUCUGAAACAAACAUUCAAAAGGUUUGCAACGGGAGUUCACAAAUAUUUCUACAAAUGAAAAAAUCUGUAUCAUUAAACAUUGAUCGAUGUAUAUAAACUAUCACGGGAACUACAGUCCAGUUGUCAUCCACGCUGUGCACUACAAACAAUCAGUAUGAAGAUAAGUGUUCUACUGAGUACCAUCCUUACUUGUUUUAAUAUAUAUUCAUUUGGUCAAAAUGUAAGGAAUGCAUACCUAUGACAACUCAGGAAUUUAAAUGUUAUUAUUUUUACACUUUUACAGAUUAGAAACGUAAGGAAAUAAACUAAGAAGAUUAGGAUAAUUCUGAGAUGGCAUGAGACAGUAGCUAACGUUAAUCAGGUGUGUAUGACUUUGGCUUCAAUCAACCAAAUUGUUUUCCAUGGCCUAAUCUCUCAUCAAGUUUGCAGAUUCCAAUAAACGUUCAAGCUUUGGUGUUGAUGGAAAAACAGAAUCAAUAUACAAAGAUGUUAUGUACGUAUACUGUAUAAGAAUUGAAAAUCAGUGUUGCUGUUUAUAACAAUUGAAGUUUUGUAAAACGUAGGUGUUGCUGUUUAAAUAACCCGAUAGGAAGGCAUUGUUAAUUAAA